GGACCCCGAUUUGGACCAACUUGAAAACUGGGCCUAAAAUCAAAAAUCUAAAUACAUGUUUAGAUUCAGCAUAUCAAAGAACCCCAAGGAUUCAAUUUUUGUUGAUAUCAAACAAAGUUUAAUUUUGGACCACGAUUUGGACCAACUUGAAAACUGGCCCCAUAAGCAAAAAUCUUAAUACAUGUUUAGAUUCAGCAUAUCAAAGAACCCCAAGAAUUCAAUUUUUG
rnacentral:lncRNA from 1 species